rnacentral:lncRNA from 1 species
AUGGGACAUUUUUGCAUAGGCUACCAUCUGGGUAACCUGGCAAGGACUCUUCCCUGACUUUUUCCCCAUGCCAGGCAUUCUUGGAGAAGUAUCGAACUAUCCAAAGCACAGGUUUCCUGGCUUCCAAGUUCACCAGUCCUUAUUCUGGGGAUCCCAAGCAAGCAAUGUCUGAGGCUCCCUCCAGUCUUUGCCUAGCCCCUAGGAUCACCUUGCCAGGAUGCAGUGCCAGCCCCACUAUCUACUGCCCCCACCUCCACAGGCCUUGUCUUGCCCUCCAUCUUGUCAUCACCCAGAAAAGCUAUGUCUCUUUGCUCCCAUUGCCACCUCUAGGAGCCCAUAAGGGGUCUGCAUACCAAGCUGGGUUGCUGGGAAGCCCCUACCUGAGGCAACAGGCACUCCAGACUCCCUACAUGCCUCCUUUUAGGAUAGACAGUUAUUCCUAUUCCUCUGCAUCCCCUCCCACCACCCUCACCAGGGCUCAAGCUGGAGCCCCCUCGUGCCCCAAGGUGCCCACUGCACUUUGUCCCCAAACUCUGGGUUUUCCUAAUGCCAGGGACGACCUCUCUCUCUAUGGGGUAUCCCCAGGACUUGGGGGAACACCACCUUCCCAUUCCCAGAACAGUGUACAGCCUGUGCCACAGCCUGGUGGUACCUUCCAGCUAACAUGCAAGCCUUUGCCAGCCAGCCAACCAUGCUCGGAGCCCAUGAGACCUGCAGAGAAGCCAACACCAGAAACUCAAGAGAUGUGGUUGCCCACCUGCAGGAAAAAGCAACUCCAACCCAGGCCCAAUGAGUGUCCUGGGGUACCUGUUGUUCUCUUAGACAGUCCAGUUCCCCACACCACACCAGCACUGCACUCCUGUGCUAAGGAGCCCCUGUCUCUUCCACAGAAGGAUACUAGGCUAGGUCACCCAACUCUCCACCAAUGCCUGUGAUUAGCAACGUUUUUGGUUUUGGUUUUGGUUUUGGUUUUGGUUUUGGUUUUGGUUUUGGUUUUGGUUUUGGUUUUGGUUUUGGUUUUGGUUUUGGUUUUGGUGUUUGUUUGUUUGUUUGUUUCAGUCUGCCCCCCUAUCGUGACUACCAGGAUGUAGAGAUAACAGAGCCCAUGGCUGAGCAGGACUCAGUUACAGGCAUUAGUAAGAGCCAAGACAAAGAUUACAAGGGGAACCUACCUGCUCAGGAUGGGGCCUCCAGAUAUCACUGAUCUGUUCAUGACUUGAGUGUGAAGAAGUUGAUGGCAGAGGGUGUCCUUGUCAAGGUCCCUAGACCUGAGGUACAUGAAAAGCCCAUUGGAAAAAAAAAAAAAAAGAAAAAGAAAAAGAAAAGCUCAUUGAAGCUAUGGAUGGGCCAUGUACAGAAAACACAGUGUCAGGUCUGCCUGGCCUAAAAAAGAUGGUCACCAAAAUCCCUGAAGUAACUGCAGAAGCCACACCAAGGACCAACUUCCAUAGCUCAGUGGUUUUCGUGUUCUGAAAAUUCAAGAUUUGCCGUCCUAUGCGCUAACCUGAAGCUAUUGUCCCAUCUCCCCCUACCCUGGCUCCUAUCCCUGCCUCUGGCCCUGCACAGCCUGCACCCAACCCCUGCCUGUGCCCGUGGGACUGCAGAUUCUCACUCAGCCUUUGCCAGUAACAUGCUUCAACCUGGCCCUAUCUAGCACACCAGCCAUAGCUGUGGCCUUCCCGGCCCCAAACUCUGUUCCACCUCCA